AGAGUUUGAUCAUGGCUCAGGAUGAACGUUGGCGGUGUGCCUAAUACAUGCAAGUCGAACGGAGUUAAUAGCAAUAUUGACUUAGUGGCGAACGGGUGAGUAACGCGUUGGUGAUCUGCCUCGAAGUGUGGAAUAACGUUCCGAAAGGAUCGCUAAUACCGCAUGUGCUCUCGAUUUUUAGAAACUUGAGAGUAAAGGAUUUAUUCGCUUCGAGAGGAGCCUGCGUCCCAUCAGCUGGUUGGUAGGGUAACGGCCUACCAAGGCUAUGACGGGUAGGGGACCUGAGAGGGUGGCCCCCCACAAUGGAACUGAAACACGGUCCAUACACCUACGGGUGGCAGCAGUAGGGAAUAUUAGAAAUGGACGAAAGUCUGAUCUAGCAACACCGCGUGUGCGAAGAAGGCCUUCGGGUCGUAAAGCACUUUUUGGAAGGAAUAGGAAGGAAUGUACUUCCAGAAUAAGUCUCGGCUAACUACGUGCCAGCAGCCGCGGUAACACGUAGGAGGCAAACGUUAUCCGGAUUUACUGGGCGUAAAGCGCGUGUAGGUGGUACUGUAAGUAGGGCGUGAAAGCUCCCGGCUCAACUGGGAGAGGCCGUUCUAAACUGCAGAACUAGAGGAUGGUAGAGGGAGGUGGAAUUCCAGGUGUAGCGGUGGAAUGCGCAGAUAUCUGGAGGAACACCAGUGGCGAAGGCGGCCUCCUGGACCAUUCCUGACACUCAGACGCGAAAGCUAGGGUAGCAAACGGGAUUAGAGACCCCGGUAGUCCUAGCCCUAAACGAUGUAGACUAGGCGUCGGUGGUUUAAUCACCAUCGGUGUCCAAGCUAACGCGAUAAGUCUACCGCCUGGGGACUACGGCCGCAAGGUUAAAACUCAAAGGAAUUGACGG
rnacentral:rRNA from 2 species